rnacentral:tRNA from 1 species
GCCAGGGUAGCUCAGUUGGUUAGAGCGCAGGAUUCAUAUCCCUGAGGUUCGUGGGUUCGAUCCCCACCCCUGGUA